UACAGAGGCCCCGAGCAUUACCCGGAAUCACUGGGCGUAAAGCGUGCGUAGACGGUAGCGUAAGUCAGAUGUGAAAGCCCCGGGCUCAACCUGGGAAUUGCAUUUGAGACUGCUCUGCUCGGGUGCGGAAGAGGGAAGCGGAAUUUCCGGUGUAGCGGUGAAAUGCGUAGAUAUCGGAAGGAACACCAGUGGCGAAAGCGGCUUCCUGGUCCGACACCGACGUUCAGGCACGAAAGCGUGGGGAGCGAACAGG
rnacentral:rRNA from 1 species